rnacentral:lncRNA from 1 species
UGUUUUUGUGGCUGAUAACUGCUGUCUUCUGAUGGAGAUGCCCAAGAGAUUUAAGAACUUCCCUCCACUGAAUUGCCUCUGGAGAGAAAAGCUAGACUUUGGCUUAUGCCAAAAAACUUCCACAAACUUUUUGAGUCUAGGUUUAAUCGCUACCUAAAUGUUGACAUAAAAUCAUAAAGCAUCAAGCCCUUGCAAAUUAAUUCCAAGCAAAACAAAUGAGAAGAUACAGGGAAAUGUGGUGUAAGAUCUUGAGAGUUUACUAUAGGUGCUCUUCUCGUGUUUGUGUGUAAGAAUGCCUGUAUACUGAGUGCACAGACACUCCUGCUGCUUAUGUAAAAUGAGCAGAAAUUUCACCUUUUACUAUACAGGAAUAAAGUCUGUGCAGUCUUUGAAAUUUUAUCUAAAGCAGUUAAAAGAUACAAACCGUUCAAAAGAGAUAAAAAAGACUGGGCAAUAGCAAAUUAUUUAUGAAAAUGUCAUUUGCAUUUAUGAAAAGGGUUCAAUUUCCACACAUUUUUCUAUUUUCAAAUAACAAAUAACCUUUUAAGAUUCAUAAUAAGGAAUGAAAUAAAUGAAAGAGUACUGAAGGUGAGUCAUUCAUUAAUCAUAAGCAAAACAGGGUCGAAAUCAAGGACACAGGAGCACAAACUGUAAAAGUAAUGGGUUGCAUAAUCAUUGUACUUAAUAUUAACUACAUUAUGUUUUUUUGUGUGAGUUCUGAGAAGUUGAUUUUUUAAUGUUUACAUGAAACUAACCCAAGGUAAAUUUUAUUUCUCAAUAUUAUUUUAUCCUAAUGGUUGCCCUUCUUUCAUAAAGUAGAAGACAUGAAUUCUGGCUUGUCACAUUGAAGUUUUAAUAGAGGGUCUUAGCAGGAACCAUCAAGUCUACUGUAAUUUUUAAGAUAUUCUAAUUUUGACUAGAAUGCGCUGUUUCUUAUAGUUACAUCCCCUUCUUGUUUGUCAUGGCUGAUCUCCCAUUAAGGACAUAAAUUCUCCUAGAAUGAGUCUUUUUGGCCAAAAUAAAUGGUUAUUCAUAUUUGGCUGUCAGAAAAAGACCAAGAAGUAUUUGAACUAUUCUGGACCUUUAUCCUACAGGAGUUCAAUCUGCAGUGACAACACAAUAUGCAACAAAGUUGUCCGCAAUUUACAGAAUUUCCUGGGGGAAUUAACAGACCAGGAAGGAAACCAAGUGGAGAAAAGUGCAGAAUGA